CAGAUCCCAUAGUGCGUGGGUAAUUAAAAACAGAACUCAUAAUAACCAGUCUGUGCCCGUCCAUUCCUUGCUCCACAAAACCAAUUUGAGUACGGCAGACCCCUCCAGCCUGGCAUAGGGAUCAGAAAGUUCCAGGGUCACAUCGGAGAAUCCAGGGACAGCAAGGAAGACUAACAUGACAUCAAACACAAAACAUUGGAAUCAUGGCAAGUACUGG